rnacentral:rRNA from 1 species
UCAGCAGCCGCGGUAAUACGGAGGAUCCAAGCGUUGUCCGGAUUUAUUGGGUUUAAAGGGUGCGUAGGUGGAUUAUUAAGUCAGGGGUGAAAGCCUGCAGCUCAACUGUAGAACUGCCCUUGAAACUGAUAAUCUUGAAUAUGGUUGAGGUAGGCGGAAUGUGUCAUGUAGCGGUGAAAUGCUUAGAUAUGAUACAGAACACCAAUUGCGAAGGCAGCUUACUAAGCCAUUAUUGACACUGAGGCACGAAAGCAUGGGGAGCAAACAGGAUUAGAUACCCUGGUAGUCCAUGCCCUAAACGUUGAUAACUCGUUGUUGGCGAUAUACAGUCAGCGACUAAGCGAAAGCGUUAAGUUAUCCACCUGGGGAGUACGUCCGCAAGGAUGAAACUCAAAGGAAUUGACGGGGGCCCGCACAAGC